CACAGGCAUCAAACUGACAGCACAAAAUUUAAAUUAGUAGGUAUAUAAAAAAGAGAUCCCUAAAGUCGAAUGUGUGUGAUACAGUAAGAAAGGGAAUUUUAGAUGCCCAGAGGUCAUUCAUCCAACCAACCAAUGAACAACUCCAGAGCUGGAACUGGAAGUGCAGAUAUCUUAAGCUUCGUGGCGCUGCUGAAGAAUUUUCAGCAGGGCCGUCCGUCGAUCCCUCUGGACACCCACGAUGUGGACGCCAACUGCGAUGGCCCCGACCUGGAUUUCGUCUACUCGGAUGUGGAUAGCUACCAGAACGAGAUCGCCGAGCUCUAUAGCUACACGGAGUACUGUGAAUUUCAGUCGAAUGUGAAGGCAUUCGAGGACCAAAUGGAGCUGUACGACUUGCCGCCCAACUGGCAGAAGCAGGACUCACCCUCGCAGCGCAGCAUUGUGAUGAAGCUCAUCGACCAGCUCGAGGUCUCAAAUCGAACGUUACGCAUGCAGGCGGCUCGUUGCAUUUUGUAUCUGGCUCAGGGCUGCUGGGCCGAGGUGCAAUCGGAUGAGGAGCAGCACCAGAAUACGCGGGACAAUGUAAUUGUCCUCUACGACCUGGGCGUCUUUUCGUCGUUCAUCGAUCUGCUCAAUAUGGAGAUCGAGAGUGCCUGCUCCCCCGACAUUGUGGCCGUCAAGAUCACGAACGUCACCCUGGUGGACUCCACAGACAUCCGAGUCAUACUCUCGGUGUUGUACAUCAUAACGGAAACCAUUCGAGAUGAACGCGAAAAGGCUAGUGAGGACUACAAAGAUCUGGCCGAGUCGUUUGUCCAGGAGAUAAAUUCCCCCCUGGCCGAUGGCGAGCUGCUGGCCGUCAAAUUGCUUGGCAUGAUUACGCGCUUCUGCAGUGGCGCUGCUCCACAGUUUCCCAUGAAGAAGGUGGUCCUGCUGCUCUGGAAGGUCUCGCUCCUGGGACUUGGUGGCAUGGAUGUCCUGAAGAAUCUCAAAAAUGAGUAUCGACUGAAGGUGGGCCUGGAUCCUAUCAAAGAGGAUACGCUAGAGGUCACAAAAUGCAUGAGAGCCAGCUCACCCCCCGCCACCGCAACGGAUAUUCUGGAGAAUCAGUAUCCUAAGAGGAGUUUCAAUAGACGAUCGCUGAUGAAGCAGCGCUUCUUGGACGAGCCGGAGCAAAUCGACAUGGAGAUGAGUGGCAACGAGGGAUCGGGGAAUGCCAACAAUGCUAGUGGCAACAACGGGGGAAGCAAUGGUGAGGAGGAACUUCUGCAGUACUAUCGACCCUUCGAUGACCCCUCGUCCUCAGCCUCAAACACAGCGACAGCCAAUCCCAACAAUCAGCCCAGCCUAACAGCACCUCUCCCCGCAGUUCCCCCAGUGCAGAUCACGGCGCGUCUGCCCUGGACGCCCAAGGUGCGGCAGAAGGACAUUGAUCAGUUCUUGGACAUUUCGCGAAACAAAUUCAUUGGCUACUCCCUGAUUGGGGAUCACGAGAGCCUGGCGGGCCUACCGCAGCCCAUACACGAGGGCUUCAAGACCCUGCAGCGGCAUAUGUACAUGAGUCUGGCGGAUAUGCAGAUAAAGAAGGAGGAGGACAUUGCCAGGAAUCCCAUUUCCACGCACGAGGAUGAGAUCAAGCUAACGCCAGCAGAAAUCCUGUACCAGGCAAUCCUGCCCAACCUCCCGCAAUACAUGAUAGCCCUGCUGAAGGUGUUGCUCGCGGCCUCGCCCACAUCCAAGUCCAAGACGGAGAGCAUCAACAUAAUGGCUGAUGUGCUGCCCAAGAAGAUGCCGCUGACGGCCACACAGUCGACCAAGCUGACAGUGGACAUGGGCAGGCACAAGGAGAUCAUUGUCAAGGCCGUCUCGGCCAUUAUCUUGCUCUACUUGAAGCACUUCAAAAUCAAUCACGUUUAUCAGUUUGAGUUCAUGUCACAGCAUUUGGUGUUCGCCAACUGCAUUCCCUUGGUACUGAAGUUCUUCAAUCAGACAAUCACCGAGUACGUCAACACGAAGAACAACAUCCCACUGCUUGACUUCCCCUCCUGCGUGAUUGGGGAGCAGCCGGACCUAAGCGGCGACAGCUUCGUUUAUGGAGCCGACAUGUCCGACAAGCCCUAUUCCUGGCGUAAUGUCUUCUCGUGCAUCAAUCUGCUGCGCAUCCUCAACAAGCUCAUCAAAUGGAAGCACUCGCGCGUCAUGAUGCUGGUUGUGUUCAAGUCGGCCCCCAUCCUCAAGAAGACGCUCAAGGUUCGUCAUGCCAUGAUGCAGCUGUAUGUGCUAAAACUCCUCAAGAUGCAGACCAAGUAUUUGGGACGCCAGUGGCGCAAGUCUAACAUGAAGACCAUGAGCGCCAUUUAUUCCAAGGUGCGUCAUCGCCUCAACGACGACUGGGCCUUUGGCAAUGAUCUCGAGUCGCGUCCCUGGGACUUCCAGGCGGAGGAGUGCACGCUGCGGGCCUGUGUGGAUCGCUUCAAUCUGCGACGCUAUCCGGAGGCCACCCAGAAGUGCGGAGCGGGUGGUGGCAGCGGCAACAACGGCGGUGGGGGCACCGCUGCCCAGAAUGCAGAGAACUCGCAGCAGUCCAACAUGAAUGCAGGCAACGGCUAUGGUGGCAAUAACGGAGGAGCCGACUCGAACGGAUAUGGGGGCAACAACGGAGGAGGCGGAAACAAUAGUGGCAAUAAUCAGCAGCAGCAGCAGCUUAAUGACUACGGUGUGGAAGGUGGCUUUCCCAGCGACGAGAUUCUAACUCAUUCGGACUUUGCCUUCUUUGGGCACUCCGGCUGGUGGGAUCGCAAAGUGGAGCUGACAGAUUACUUUAAGGCAAACUAUGCGGUGUGGCUCGAAGAGGAGGUAUACAACAGUCAAAUCGACUGGGAUGCCCUCUAAAAAACAUAGUAGAUCGUCGCCGCCUUUCUAGCUUGACUCAUGGCGGCCCAUAUCCACACCGAUAGCGCCGCUUCAGGCCAUAGCUAGAUCCACAACAUAUGCGACAUAUAUAAACAGAAAAGUUAUUACCAUAAUUCUAAGCAUAAUGAAGUACAUUGAUAUAAUCCAUGUAGUCCCCCCGAUCAAGAUUGGAACAGCAAAACACUUACUCAUGCAAUUGGCAAUAAUACGGCAGGCCACGCUGCACCACUCCUAUACUGCUCCUCACUAUUCUAGCAGGAUUCAUAUACAGUAACAGAAUACCCUAACUAGCGAUGACAAGAAUUAGAUGGCUUCUGUAGCAGAAUAAACAAAUUAAUUAGUUCGAAAUGGAUUCGAUUCAAUCAUUUA
rnacentral:misc_RNA from 1 species